UACGUAGGGGGCAACCGUUGUUCGGAUUCAUUGGGCGUAAAGGGUGCGUAGGCGGCGGGGUAAGUCGGGUGUGAAAUCUCGGGGCUCAACCCCGAAACUGCACUUGAUACUGCCUCGCUUGAGUACUGGAGAGGAGACUGGAAUUUACGGUGUAGCAGUGAAAUGCGUAGAUAUCGUAAGGAAGACCAGUGGCGAAGGCGAGUCUCUGGACAGUUACUGACGCUGAGGCGCGAAAGCGUGGGGAGCAAACAGGAUUAGAC
rnacentral:rRNA from 1 species